AGCCUCAUUUUAGAUUAGAAUGGGCACUGUUGAUUGGUGUCCAAAACUGGUUAAUGUGGCUGAAAUUGUCACAGGUCGUGCUUCCAUCACAGUAAAUGUUUACAGUGGUGACAAUGAGACCUGUAACAUCU
ensembl:snoRNA